AUGGGUGCUAAUGAGGAGGAAGGAACUCAUCAUUCGCGUCAACUGCCCAGAGUCCACGGCCGAAGAUCCUGCAGCAGCCAAGCGGCCGUGGCCUACCACAGCUUCCUGGUGGAGCUCAUCAGCUGCCACACCUGGAACAAGGACCGCACCCAAAUUGCCAUCUGCCCAAACAACCAUGAGGUGCACAUCUAUGAGAAGAGUGGGACCAAGUGGACCAAGGUGCAUGAGCUCAAGGAGCACAAUGGGCAGGUGACAGGCAUCGACUGGGCUCCUGAGAGUAACCGCAUCACAACCUGCGGCACAGAUCGCAACGCCUACGUGUGGACACUGAAGGGCUGCACAUGGAAGCCAGCCCUGGUCAUCCUGCAGAUUAACCAGGCUGCCCGCUGUGGGCAGUGGCUCCUGUGUUAUCUCCAUCCGUUAUUCUGAGCAGGAGAAUGACUGGUGGGUGUGCAAGCACAUCAAGAAGCCCAUCUGCUCCACUGUUCUCAGCCUGGACUGGCACCCCAACAACGUGCUCCUGGCUGCAGGCUCCUGUGAUUUCAAGUGCUGGAUCUUCUCAUCCUACAUCAAGGAGGUGGAGGAGAGGCCGGCAUCCACACCCUGGGGCUCCAAGAUGCCCUUUGGGGAGCUGAUGUUUGAAUCCAGCAGUAGCUGUGGCUGGGUGCAUGGCGUCUGCUUCUCAGUUAGCAGGAGCUGUGAGGUCUGGGUCAGUCAUGACAGCACUGUGUGCCUGGCUGAUGCUGACAAGAAGAUGGCCAUUGCAACCCUGACCUCUGAAACGCUGCCGCUGCUGGCACUGACCUUCAUCACAGAAAACAGCCUGGUGGCAGUGGGCCACAACUGCUUCCCAGUGCUCUUUACCUAUGAUAGCACAGCAGGGACACUGAGCUUCAGUGGGCAGCUGGACAUGCCCAAGCAGAGCUCUCAGCAGGGCUUGACGGCCCAUGAACGCUUCUAGAACCUAGACAAGAAGGCGAGCUCGGAGGGUGGCGCGUCCUCAGGCGCUGGCCUCAACUCACUGCACGAGAACAGCAUCAGCCAGAUCUCUAUGCUCAGUGGGGCAGGGCCACUGGCAUGGGUGGGGGUAGAGCAUCUGGGAUAUGAAGAGCUUGGAGUCAGCCUUGAAGGACCUCAAGAUCAAAUGACCCAUGAGGAGUAUGUUGCCUUCAUCCCAGCUGCUGGGGAAGUGGGGAGAGGGGAGCAGGGAGAUUAGGGUCGCUUUGCUGAAUGUUUCUAGGGUACUAGUAUGGGUCACUCACUAUAGGGGCUGCUUCUCAAAAGGGAAGGAGACAGGCCUCAAGCAGGGGCAUUGCAGAUAUCUUACCUAGUCAAGGAACAUGUGCCUUUUUCUUAAAUGCUUUCAUUUGUUGUAAAAAAUAUCCUCAGAGCACUAUGCUGGUCAUGAAUUGCUUCAAACAUGGAGGUAAUAAAAAUGCAGUGGUGGAAAAAAGAAAGAGUCUUUAUAACUCAGAUAGAAGCUGCCUCUUUUCCAUAAACUUUUUGUAGUUUGAAUUCCUUGGAAACUAGGUCUUAAAAUGCCCAUGAUUGUUAAGAGUUGUAAAAACUUAAUAACUAGCGCCUUCUUUUCUUCUUCUUGAGUUGAAAACCAGUCAGAGAGCAAUAGAGGACAGAUAAACUGAUAGAGUGUUCCCUCUCUCCCUGGCAAGAUGUGGGAUGCUUGUUUAUAUUUUACCUGUUUUGUAAAUGCAUGAAGGUUUUAUUGUCAUGACUCAGGAGUGGCCUUAAUGAACAACCUCUCUUGCUCAGUAAUGACUAGCAGAAGAAGGUUUAAAGUCACGUUUACCAAAUCCAAAUCAUCUCCCCCCCCUUCUCUUUCUACAAUAUUGCCAAGAA